UGUGGUAAUUCUAGAGCUAAUACAUGCUAAAAACCUCGACUUCGGAAGGGGUGUAUUUAUUAGAUUAAAAACCAAUGCCCUUUGGGGCUCUUUUGGUGAUUCAUAAUAACUUAACGAAUCGCAUGGCCUUGCGCCGGCGAUGGUUCAUUCAAAUUUCUGCCCUAUCACUUUUCGAUUGUAUAGUAGUGGUAUACAAUGAGGACGACGGGUAACGGGGAAUUAGGGUUCGAUUCCGGAGAAGGAGCCUGAGAAACGUAAGUUGAGAGAGUUUAUUUUUUGACAUCUUUUACCAGUCGUCUACCCUCUUCAGGAAAAAUCAAAAUUCCACCCAACAGCUUUGCCACCGUGGACCUACCCUCUUCACAAAAACUGUGCUGACAUGUGUGUUAAUAGGGCUACUACAUCCAAGGAAGGCAGCAGGCGCGCAAAUUACCCAAUGCCGACACGGCGAGGUAGUAAGUAUAUCAUGGUCCACCCAUUGUGAAUCUGGCUAACGUUGAUCAGGUGACAAUAAAUACUGAUACAGGGCUCUUUUGGGUCUUGUAAUUGGAAUGAGUACAAUUUAAAUCCCUUAACGAGGAACCAUUGGAGGGCAAGUCUGGUGCCAGCAGCCGCGGUAAUUCCAGCUCCAAUAGCGUAUAUUAAAGUUGUUGCAGUUAAAAAGCUCGUAGUUGAACCUUGGGCCUGGUUGGCCGGUCCGCCUCACCGCGUGCACUGGUCCGGCCGGGUCUUUCCUCCUGGGGAACCUCAUGCCCUUCACUGGGUGUGUUGGGAAAUCAGGACUUUUACUUUGAAAAAAUUAGAGUGUUCAAAGCAGGCAUAUGCUCGAAUACAUUAGCAUGGAAUAAUAGAAUAGGACGUGUGGUUCUAUUUUGUUGGUUUCUAGGACCGCCGUAAUGAUUAACAGGGGCAGUCGGGGGCAUCAGGUAAGCUAAUUUUCCUUGUAGUAGGUUGUAACACACGCUAAUACAUCGCAGUAUUCAAUUGUCAGAGGUGAAAUUCUUGGAUUUAUUGAAGACUAACUACUGCGAAAGCAUUUGCCAAGGAUGUUUUCAUUAAUCAGGAACGAAAGUUAGGGGAUCGAAGACGAUUUUUGGGCAGUCUCACGCUUUAACAAGCC
rnacentral:rRNA from 1 species